CCGGGUUGCCCUUGCCUGUAGGAACAUUACCGAGUACCGGGUCUUUUAGGCCCUUACUCCCACCCUUUGUGUACUUAAAAAAAAGUUCGUUGCUUCGGCGAGGUUGAUCUCUAGGCUUCGCGGCCGUGGAGAGACUCGCCGAAGAGACACUUCUAAACUACUGUCAACUUUGCUGUCUGAGAACAAAUAAAUAAGUCAAAACUUUCAACAACGGAUCUCUUGGUUCUGGCGUCGAUGAAGAACGCAGCGAAAUGCGAUAAGUAAUGUGAAUUGCAGAAUUUAGUGAAUCAUCGAAUCUUUGAACGCACAUUGCGCCCUUUGGUAUUCCGAAGGGCAUGCCUGUUCGAGCGUCAUUUCAACCCUCAAGCUUCUGCUUGGUAUUGGGCCUCGUCCGCCUGGACGUGCCCGAAACUCGUCGGCGGUGAUGCCCAUCUCCCAGCGUAGUCAAGUCUAUUCGCUUCGGAGUUUUGGCGUCACCCGCCGGACAACCACACUUCUAUGGUUUGACCUCGGAUCAGGUAGGGAUACCCGCUGAACUUAAGCAUAUCAAUAAGCGGAGGAAUCU
rnacentral:rRNA from 1 species